ACUGUUUUGUAAGAGUUGAUGACCCGGGAGAGGUUGUCACUGGCCUGGAGGAUGUCCCCUAGAGCAGAAAGAGGAGGAAGAAAGGGACGGCAGACACCCCUCAUUCUUCCUGGCCUUAGCCAGCCUUUGGGGAUGCUUUAAGGCGGAGGGAAGGUAAGCACAUACCCUGUCUCUUCAACAUGUGGUAAGCAUCCUUGAUCUUGGUUUCUUCCGGCAGGGCCAACGUCCAGCUGUAAAGCAGCUCGAUAACCUUGGUCUUCACUUUCUCAGACACCCGGUCCCCUAGGUACUAAGAGGCAAAAGGAAAUGGGAAAACCUCGUAACUACCGUCCGGAGGCAGGAGCCGUGGGAAUGAAAGGCUGCUAGUCCGCUCCAGUCUUCAGGCCUACCCCAAACCAGCAGGUGUUAGUGGUGCCCAGAGCAAAAGCCACACCAGCGUGCCACAGAAGCUGAGAAGCUGAGCCUAACUCCGUA